ACGAAUAAUUUCACAAUAGGUCCUUAAAGUAAUCGUACUUAAGGGUAAUAGGGAAGUUUGGUGAAAAUCCAACGCGGUCCCGCCACUGUAAACGUAGAAUGACACUUAAUAGAUCCCACUGUAUUCUUUAAUAUGGGAAGGGAAAGUGUACAUGAUGAUGCGUAAGCCAGGAGACCUGCCUAUUGUUAAGAUAAACG
rnacentral:ncRNA from 2 species